ACUCCUACGGGAGGCAGCAGUCGGGAAUUUUGGGCAAUGGGCGAAAGCCUGACCCAGCAACGCCGCGUGAAGGAUGAAAUCCCUCGGGAUGUAAACUUCGCAAGAAUGGGAAGAAUUAGUAGGGGUUAAUACCCUCUAUGAUGACGGUACCAUUUGUAAGCUCCGGCUAACUCCGUGCCAGCAGCCGCGGUAAU
rnacentral:rRNA from 1 species